GAUGAACGCUGGCGGCGUGCUUAACACAUGCAAGUCGAACGGAAAGGCCCAAGCUUGCUUGGGUACUCGAGUGGCGAACGGGUGAGUAACACGUGGGUGAUCUGCCCUGCACUUCGGGAUAAGCCUGGGAAACUGGGUCUAAUACCGGAUAGGACCACUUCUUGGAUGUUGUGGUGGAAAGUUUUUUCGGUGUGGGAUGAGCUCGCGGCCUAUCAGCUUGUUGGUGGGGUACUGGCCUACCAAGGCGUCGACGGGUAGCCGGCCUGAGAGGGUGUACGGCCACAUUGGGACUGAGAUACGGCCCAGACUCCUACGGGAGGCAGCAGUGGGGAAUAUUGCACAAUGGGCGCAAGCCUGAUGCAGCGACGCCGCGUGGGGGAUGACGGCCUUCGGGUUGUAAACUCCUUUCGCUAGGGACGAAGCGUUUUGUGACGGUACCUGGAGAAGAAGCACCGGCUAACUACGUG
rnacentral:rRNA from 1 species